GGUCAAUGCAGCAACACAUUCACCAAAUACUUAUUCCAACAGAACAGGUACUGUUCUCCGUGUCAAGGAUGUAACAGCGAACAGUGUCGUGGCCAUUAUUAUCCUGUGUAAAAAUUCUUAGGUAAAACUACCUGGCCCUGAUUCUUUGUUCCCCUUUACUAGGUUGCCAAUUACUGGGGCUGCUAUUAUUACUAAACAUCCUAAUGUAGAGUGUUGGGAAUGCAGGUGACUAUCCACCUAAAAUCUGAAGGAAUUUCUGAGAACGGUACGAUCUCAAGACUGAUUUGAAUAUAGGAGAGUCCACACUUUUGAGUACUCCUGUUGGUCCUUCACUGCUGAGAAGCCCACCACUUGACUCUUAAUCUCUUCAUUAUGCCUCUCUGAAAUGCCCAUCGUCAGCCUCCAUCAGGGAAACAGUCAUAAAAACAUCAAUUUAGCCACUUCUCCCACUGUUUAGAAUUUAGAUUGAGGGAAGCUGAGUAGUUACAAUAAAGACUUCUUGACUGAGGCAUUACGCAGCGGUGGUUUCGCUUUCACAAUCCUAGUUUCUUUGUAGCUUUUGAUUCUUUUGCUAAAACAGACCUUAACUUUUUAGGUUCUUUCAUUGCUACCCAGUAGGGGAAGGGGGAAAACUAAAGCAGAUGACAUCUCAUCACUCAGUCUGGAAAAUUUGAUAUUCCUAAGUUCAAAAACUAAAACCUGAAAAAUGAAGUUGUUCUCUAAACCAGCAAGGCAGAAAAGCAGCAGGCGCAAAGAUUGCAUGAAGUACCGAAUGACAAAACUGAAGAUGAAUAGUCUGGCAAAGAAAUCUGAAGUUGAGUCAGAGAACAUUUGUGCACCAAACAUAAGGGAAUUGAACUCAGGACUUUGCACUUGCCAUGCAGGCACAGUGCCACUGAGCCACAUCCCCAGCCCUAACCUGUAUGCUUCGUGAAGUGAAGAAUUAUACCUACUGGCGCCACACCACACAGCAAGUGCUCAACACAGUCACUGGGAUUAAGACUACUAGAGUGGACCUGACUGCCUUAAGGAAAAGCUUUCAGUCUUUUACCAUUGCCUGUUGUGGAUUUUUCAUACAUGUAUGUUAUUAUAUCCCCUUAGUUUGUUGAAUGUUUUUGUCAUGAAAUGGUGUUGAAUUUUUCAAAUGCUUUUCCUACAUCAGUUGAAAAGAUGAUAUUUUCCCUUCUUCAUUCUCUUAAUGUGGCAUAUUACAUUGACUGUGUUUUCCAUUUAGGUCAUGUGUUUGGACCAUUUACAUUCAAUGUGGUUAAUAUUAGAUUUAAGCUUAUACCUUUGCUAUUUGUUUAUUUUUCCUAUCAAUCCUUUGUUCCUUUUCUUAUUUUGUAUGAACUCUUUGACUAACUUUUUGUUUCUAUGAUAUUUUCCUUGCUGUGUUAUUAACUAUUAAAUUUUAGGUUAUUGGUCACUUAAGGUUUACAGAAUGACUUUUUAGCAGAUUAGUACACUUUCUAAUACUAUACCACUCGAUAUUUAGCAUAAGAGUCUUGUAAAAAUACAUUGCCAAAGUGUAUAUUGGUAUACUACCACUUUUUAUUUCUGUGCUAUUAUUUUCAUACAUUUUACUUAUGUUAUAAAACCAUCAAUACAUCACUAUUUUUUGUUAAAUUAAUCAAUUAUCUGUAAAAAAUUUAAAUGAUGAGAAAAAGUAUACAUUUAUCAAGUUACUACUGUUGGUGAUAUUUAUUCCUUGGG